rnacentral:rRNA from 1 species
CCUACGGGGGGCAGCAGUGAGGAAUAUUGGUCAAUGGGCGCGAGCCUGAACCAGCCAAGUAGCGUGAAGGAUGACUGCCCUACGGGUUGUAAACUUCUUUUAUAAAGGAAUAAAGUGAGGAACGUGUGCCUUUGUAUAUGUACUUUAUGAAUAAGGAUCGGCUAACUCCGUGCCAGCAGCCGCGGUAAUACGGAGGGUGCGAGCGUUAAGCGGAAUUGCUGGGCGGAAAGCGCUCGUAGGCGGUUUGUAAAGUUAAGGGUGAAAUCCCCGCGCUCAACCUGCGAACCGCCUUUGAUACUGGCAAACUGGAGUGUGUUAGAGGAUAGUGGAAUUCCAGGUGUAGCGGUGAAAUGCGUAGAUAUCUGGAGGAACAUCAGUGGCGAAGGCGGCUUUCUGGCUCAUAACUGACGCUGAGGAGCGAAAGCGUGGGUAGCAAACAGGAUUAGAUACCCGAGUAGUC